GCCCCUGUAGCUCAAUGGACAGAGCACCGGACUUCUAAUCCGAUGGUUGAGGGUUCGAGUCCCCCCAGGGGCGCCA
rnacentral:tRNA from 1 species